UAAGUAGAAUAAAUGAUCGCGGCCGCAUCGCAAGAUGCGGGUGAGGAAAGUCCGGGCUUCGCAGGGCAGGAUGCCGGAUAACGUCCGGUGGAGGCGACUCCAAGGCUAGUGCAACAGAAAUAAACCGCCCCGGGGAGGAGCAUGUACUCUUCCCCGGAAAGAAUCCGGCAACGGAUUCUUUGACGCACCAGGCCAUUUGGCAUGGUGCGUCGGUAAGGGUGGAAAGGCAGUGUAAGAGACUACCGUUUGUCUGGUAACAGGCAGAGCCAUGUAAACCCCAUCCGAAGCAAGACCAAACAGAAAGCGACAGGCUUGCCCGGCCUGCUUUCAGGUAGGUCGCUUGAAAUUGCCGGCAACGGUAAUUCUAGAUAGAUGAUCAUUCACGACAUAACCCGGCUUAUCGUUCUGCUUAGUAC
rfam:Lachnospiraceae bacterium 28-4 genomic scaffold acPFn-supercont1.2, whole genome shotgun sequence.